GACGAACGCUGGCGGCGUGCCUAAUACAUGCAAGUCGAGCGAAUCUCAGGGAGCUUGCUCCCUGAGAUUAGCGGCGGACGGGUGAGUAACACGUGGGUAACCUGCCUGUAAGACUGGGAUAACUUCGGGAAACCGGAGCUAAUACCGGAUACUUUCUUUUCUCGCAUGAGGGAAGAUGGAAAGAUGGUUCUGCUAUCACUUACAGAUGGACCCGCGGCGCAUUAGCUAGUUGGUGAGGUAACGGCUCACCAAGGCAACGAUGCGUAGCCGACCUGAGAGGGUGAUCGGCCACACUGGGACUGAGACACGGCCCAGACUCCUACGGGAGGCAGCAGUAGGGAAUCUUCCGCAAUGGACGAAAGUCUGACGGAGCAACGCCGCGUGAGCGAAGAAGGCCUUCGGGUCGUAAAGCUCUGUUGUUAGGGAGGAACAAGUACGAGAGUAACUGCUCGUACCUUGACGGUACCUAACCAGAAAGCCACGGCUAACUACGUGCCAGCCGCCGCAGUAACAC
rnacentral:rRNA from 1 species